CGCCUAAAACCUAGCUUUACUUACACGCAUAAACACCCAACAACUUUUUUCCUACGAUAAAACAUUUUUUCUAUUUAGUAGAGGCGAUCAAAAAAUAUCUUAAAGCUAUAAAAGUAGUACCGCAAGGGAAAGGUGAAAUAGUAAUGAAAUAACCUUUAAGCCAAAAAAAGCAGAGAUAAAACCUCGUACCUUUUGCAUCAUGGUUUAGCUAGUCUAACCAAGCAAAAUGCAUUUUAGUUUGACCCCCCGAAACUAAGCGAGCUACUUUAAAACAGCCUUCAGAGCUAACCCGUCUCUGUUGCAAAAGAGUGGGAAGAUUUUAAAGUAGAGGUGAUAAACCUACCGAGCUUAGAGAUAGCUGGUUAUUCAGGAAAGGGAUUUAAGUCCUACCUUAAGUUUUUCUAUAACUUCUAAUACUUC
rnacentral:rRNA from 1 species